AUUGAACGCUGGCGGCAUGCCUUACACAUGCAAGUCGAACGGUAACAGGUCUUCGGAUGCUGACGAGUGGCGAACGGAUGAGUAAUACAUCGGAACGUGCCCGAUCGUGGGGGAUAACGGAGCGAAAGCUUUGCUAAUACCGCAUACGAUCUACGGAUGAAAGCAGGGGACCGCAAGGCCUUGCGCGGACGGAGCGGCCGAUGGCAGAUUAGGUAGUUGGUGGGAUAAAAGCUUACCAAGCCGACGAUCUGUAGCUGGUCUGAGGGGACGACCAGCAACACUGGGACUGAGACACGGCCCAGACUCCUACGGGAGGCAGCAGUGGGGAAUUUUGGACAAUGGGCGAAAGCCUGAUCCAGCCAUGCCGCGUGCAGGAUGAAGGCCUUCGGGUUGUAAACUGCUUUUGUACGGAACGAAAAGACUCUUUCUAAUAAAGAGGGUCCAUGACGGUACCGUAAGAAUAAGCACCGGCUAACUACGUGCCAGCCGCCGCAGUAA
rnacentral:rRNA from 1 species